AUGUUGAAAAUUGACCUAGCUAAAGUUUUUGAUCGAAUAGAGUGGAAUUGUAUUACUUUGGCUCUUGCACGCAAAGGUCUUCCCAAUCAUUUCACAAAACUUGUGCUUGCUUGCAUCUCUUCGCCGACUUUUUCUGUUAUAAUAAAUGGUCAGUCUUAUGCGAAAUUUACUAGCUCCAGAGGUAUCAUGCAGGGUUCUUCGUUUUCGCCAUAUCUUUUUGUCCUUGCAGUUAACGAACUAUCAUUGAAUCUACAGAAUGCUCUACGGGCCAAUGAUCUCACAGGUAUUGUACUUGGACCAAAUUACCCUCCUGUUCACUCUUUGAUGUUUACAGAUGAUCUUAUUAUUUGCCGCAAAACUAACAUGCAUGAGGUUCAAACUAUCUCUAACAUUUUAAAUCGAUUUUGUCAAAACUCAGGUCAAAUCCCUAACUGGAACAAGUCUGGUAUUCUUUUCAGUAAAAAUGUUCCUCUACAGGACAAAUAA
rnacentral:rRNA from 1 species